UCACCAGGUACUGGCAAUUCUAAAUAAUAUCAAUUAUAUUUAAAAAAACCACUUGUUGGUCUAAGUUCUAAAUAAUUGUAGAACUUACUGUUGAGUUUGAAUAAUAUAUACAUAAGCAGGAAAUUAGUGCAUUUUUGUUACAUGUUCUUUAAGAAACGUUUUAUUCUACACAGAAGUUAAUCCAGAUAACUCCUAGUUAUACUGUCAGUCCUCCUCCUCCCAUGCCUCCCACCACAAGAAAGAUGACAGGGCUAAAGUUACUUCAUGCUAUUGUGACCACUAUUUGUGUUCAAAAUGAAAAAACAGGGAAAUAGUACCAACUACAAGUUGUAAUUAUUUUGUAACAGAUAAGGACAGAUUUAAUUCAAAUGUGACAUAUGUUGCAGGUUUUUAUAAUACCCUCUAAAUUGACAUUAUUCUUCUUUUAAAAUUGUGAAUUGUGAAUUGUCUGUUUUCAAACUAGUAAACAAGUUAGGAAACUAAUAAGUGUUAUUAAUUGUUGUGUGAUUUCAACUGAAAAUCGUUUCAUCUUAUAGAGGAGAGUUAAAACAAUCUUCUCUGGAUGUCCAAUGCACUAGGCCCAACACUAGUGCUACAGGCUCAAUGUAAGGGGCCCCUGACAGCCCAUGAGCUUGGGAGAGCCUGAUACAUUAAAAAAACUCAGGAUGGUAUAAUCCAGGGUAUGGGUUGGGGAGUGGUAAGAGCUGAGUCUUGUGAGAUAGUAGGAACAAGGUAAGGAGGGUGAGGGAUUUAGAAGAUUUUAAAAAGGAGAGAGUCAUGGUUAGGUUUGUGCAUUAGAAAGUACAUAGACAAGAAAUAUGACCAUGGCAGCAGAUUGUUGUCUUAUGUCACUACUUUUUAUGAACUUUAAAAUUUUUAAUAACUUGUUUCAGUUAUGCUCCACAUAACAAUAUUUUGCUCCACAUAACAAUAUUUUGCUCAUCAUUAAGUGAUGCAUGACUAUAUUUUAAAAUAAUUUCAGGUUUCAAAGACAGAUGCAAAAGUAGUACAAAAACUGUUCUAUGUCUUUCACCCACAGUUGCCAACAGUUAAAUCUUAAUAUGAUUGAAACAAUAUUAUUGAUAGGCUACUAUUAUCUGAUCUACAGACUUUAUUCAAAGUUCUCCAAUUGUCUCACUAAUGCUCUUUUUGGUCCAGGAUUCAAUACAGGUUACGAUGUUACAUUUGGUUAUUAUUUAUUUAGUUAAUAUCUCUUCCAAUCUGGAAAGUUCCUCAGUUGUCUUUGUUUUUCAUGACCUCAGCACUUUUAAAGAAUACCAGACAUUUAUUUUAUAGACUGGCCCUCAAUUUGAGUUUGUCUAAUGCUUCCCUAUGAUUUAAUUCUGAUUUAAAUUUUUGGCAAAGAUACUGCAAAAUUGAUCUUGUGUUCCUCUCAAAGUACAUAUCAACAGGUACUUGCUAAUUUGUGCUAUUACUAGUGACAUUUAUAUCACUUGGUUAAGGGGAUAUAUGCCAUGUAUUUUAAUUAUGGUUAUUUUUCUAUUUGUAAUUAAGAAAUAGUUUAGCAUUAUUUUGAAAUCAUAUAAAUAUCCUGUUUCUCGCACUUUCACCCACUAAUUUUAGCAUCCACUGAUGAUUCUUGUCUGAAACAAAUAGUACUGUGAUAUUUCUCAAAUAGUGAUUUUCUAUUUCCACUGUUCCUUCUGCAUGUAUUAGUUGAAGGAAAAAUUGUCUCAUUUACUCACUUAUUCUUUCAUUAUUUCAUUCAUCGGUUAUAUCAGUAUAGAUCCAUCAUUUUUAUUUUAAUCUCUGGAUUGUAAUUUUUCCUAUUAUUUAUUUUAUUUCUCAAAAAUUCCCAGACUUGGCCAAUGGGUGUUUCUUAUGUUGGUUUCUGUGUCUUUUUAACAUGUCCUCAAUUUUUCUUGCUCAGAAAAAACUAGUGUCAUGUAUAUUUUGUUUUUCAAAAAGAGAAUUUUAAAAUAUUGCUUCCUUAUUCUUGACAUCAUUAGACCAUUUGAUACUGUUUCACAGCUCUAGGAUGCUCUGUUUUGUGCCACCCCUUAACCAGCUCCCACUCAUUUUUCUCCUUGUGCUUCAGUUGGGUAAUUGCUAUUGACCUAUCUUCAAGUUCACUGAUUUUUUUUUUUCCUCAGCUGUGUUGACUCUACUGAUAAGCUCAUCAAGAGCACUCUUCAUAUUUGUUACUAUGUAUUUUUAUUUUUAGUGUUUCUGUAUGUAUAUUUUUCUUAGAGCAUCUUUCUUUCUUCAGAAACUUCUCAUCUGUAUAUUGUUUAUGAAUGUUGUCCACUGUUUCCACUGGAAACGUUAGCAUAUUAGUCAUAGUUAUGUUUAAUUUCCUGUCUGAUGAUUCCAACAUUUGGAUCACCUCUUUGUCUGAUUCUGCUUAUUGCUUUGCCUCUUGACAGUGGAUGGCAUUUUCUUGCUUUUUAGUAUCUUUUCAUUUUUUAUUGAGUGCCAGACAUUCUAUCUAAACCAGUAGUGGCUGAGGCCAAUAGUAAUUACGCAUAAAAACAGGCACAUGUUUUCUGUUGGGUCAUUAGUCAAUCAAAUUAGGUAUUGAGCUGGGUUUGGGUUUUACUGUUUCUAUUACCUGUAGCUCACUCUAAUUUUAAAUUUCUUAGCAUUAUCUUGUUUUUAGAUUGGGGGCUCUGGCAUAGGAAAAGGCUUCUCAAUGAUCCUGCUCCACUCUCAACUGUAAACUUUCCUGUACCUGUGUCACAACAGUGCUGUCCCUCUAUUCUCUUACCUAUUCUGUAUAUGAGUAAUAUCUUUUUUCAAUUAUUAUUUUCUUCUUUGAGCAUUUUCAAAAUUUGCUUUCUUAUAUCUUUCUAAGAUUUUUGUUGAGCUGUAUAUUUAAUUUUCUUACUUUUAUUCUUUUGUCUUAUAUUUGCAAGAGUAUUUAUGGCUAUUCUGUUUUCUUCAAACAUUGUUUUAAUGUAUCCAUAUAUUCUGAUAAGUAGUGUUGUUAUUUUUUUUUUUUUUUACAAAUUCUAUACUUUAAAUUUGCUUUUUGCCUUUACAUGAGAUUGUCUAUAAAUUCUAGCAAAAAGACAUUUUGUGGUUUUUAACAUUUUUUUCUUGGUUAUAUCUGAGUGUUUUUGCAUAGUGAUCAGAUUGUUGUUCAUAAUAUUUCUACUUUACAAAAGUUAAUGCUGAUUUCUUUGUUACCUAACUGAUCCUAACAUAGAAUCAAUGUUGUGGAGGUCUCAUGAUUGAUUUCAAGAUAAUAUUCUCUGUUAUCAGUGUAUAGUCUGUACUAUGUGUAUGUGUGUGCAUGAAUCUUGCUUUGUAAAUUAAAUUGAAAGGCUUUUUCAAAUUCUGAGAUAUGUGUGGUCUCAUUAGCAUAAUAAUAUCCAUAAUUAUGUGUUUUAUAUUACCUAUGUUAAUGUAUUUACCUGAUGCAUAUUCUUUGAUCUUUUAUUUUUAAAAAAUGUUUUGGGAUGUGGAGGAGGAGCAAGAUGGUCAAAUAGAAGCCUUCACUGAUCAUUAUCCCUGCAGGAACACCAAAUUGAACAACUAGCCACACAAAAAAUGUACCUUCAGAAGAAUAAAAAAUCAGGUGACUGAUCACAGCACUGCGUUUUAACUUCAUAUCACUGAAGGAGGCACUGAAGAGGGUAGGAAAGACAGUCUUGAGUUGCCAAUGCCACCUCUCCCCAAUCUUCCAGCAGCAGCCACAUGGCACAGAGUGAGAACUAUGAGCCUUGGGUGAGACCUAGAGUUGUGCGGGCAUCAGGCAUCAACCGGCACAUUCUCAGCUGUGGUGACUACAGGGAGAGACUCCUGGGAGAAAAGCUUCCAUUGUCACCUCUGUAUUUUUUUUUUCUCACAUAACAAGAAGUCCAGAAGGAAAAGUUUGCUGGCAUUGUUUCAACUGCUUAAAGAUGUCACAGCCAAAGUCUCAGCAAUUUUCUUUGUCUAUUCCUCUGGUACCAAAGAUAGCUGCUGAGGCUGAAGACAUCACAUCCUAA
rnacentral:lncRNA from 1 species